CGGGACGGGGUGGAGGUAAUGCUUGGGAAGUCUGGCUUAUGGAGGGGGGUAACUACGGGAAACUGUAGCUAAUACCGCGUAAUAUCGAAAGAUUAAAGUGUGGGACCUUCGGGCCACAUGCCAUAGGAUGAGCCCAAGUGGGAUUAGGUAGUUGGUGAGGUAAAGGCUCACCAAGCCGACGAUCUCUAGCUGGUCUGAGAGGAUGACCAGCCACACUGGGACUGAGACACGGCCCAG
rnacentral:rRNA from 1 species